rnacentral:rRNA from 1 species
UGGGCGUAAAGGGUCCGUAGGCGGUGCGGCAAGUCGGGGGUGAAAUCUUCGGGCUUAACUCGAAGGCUGCCUCCGAAACUGCCGUGCUCGAGUGUGGGAGAGGCGAGUGGAAUUGCAGGUGUAGCGGUGAAAUGCGUAGAUAUCUGCAGGAACACCCGGGGCGAAAGCGGCUCGCUGGACCACAACUGACGCUGAGGGACGAAAGCUAGGGGAGCAAACAGGAUUAGAUACCCUGGUAGUCCUAGCCUUAAACGAUCAGGACUUGAGGUGUCCCGCGUAGGCGGGAGGUCUCGGAGCUAACGCGUUAAGUCCUGCGCCUGGGGAGUACGGUCGCAAGGCUGAAACUCAGAGGAAUUGACGGGGGCCCGCACAAGCGGUGGAACAUGUGGUUCAAUUCGACGCAACGCGAAGAACCUUACCUGGGCUUGAACCGCACCGGAACAGCGGUAGAAACAUCGCCUUCCCGCAAGGGACCGGUGUAGAGGUGCUGCAUGGCUGUCGUCAGCUCGUGCCGUGAGGUGUUGGGUUAAGUCCCGCAACGAGCGUAACCCUUACGCUUAGUUGCCACCCGCAAGGGGGAACUCUAAGCGGACUGCUCCGGAUAACGGAGAGGAAGGUGGGGAUGACGUCAAGUCAGCACGGCCCUUAUGUCCAGGGCUACACACGUGUUACAAUGCGCGCUACAGACCGUCGCAAACCCGCGAGGGGGAGCUAAUCGGAGAAAAGCGCGCUCAGUUCGGAUUGCAGUCUGCAACUCGACUGCAUGAAGCUGGAAUC